GACAGAGGGUGCUAGCGUUGUCCGGAAUUAUUGGGCGUAAAGGGCUCGUAGGCGGUCCGUCACGUCGGGAGUGAAAACUCGGGGCUCAACCCCGAGCCUGCUUUCGAUACGGGCGGACUAGAGGUAGGUAGGGGAGAACGGAAUUCCUGGUGUAGCGGUGGAAUGCGCAGAUAUCAGGAGGAACACCGGUGGCGAAGGCGGUUCUCUGGGCCUUACCUGACGCUGAGGAGCGAAAGCGUGGGGAGCGAACAGG
rnacentral:rRNA from 1 species